CCCGGUUCUAGUGAGGCACUUACUUUGCAUGAGGGAAUAAAUUAUGAGGAUAUUCAAAGUCCAAGUCUUAUUCAGCUAUACAAAAAAAAGGAACCAAAUGACCCUUUUCACUUUAUAUUAUUUAGGAUGACAAAUAUUUUGAUAAAUUUCAUAAUUGCUGUAGGCCCUUGUCAGCCAUGUACAAAUAAAUUUCAAUAUCCUGUUACUAACAAGAGGAGCAUGAAUAUAACCUAUUAUAGAAAGGUUAAUAUAGAUGGUUCCCUCAACCCCAGAAAUUGGCUAUCUUAUAGCACUACUUUAGACAAAGUCUUUUGUCUAUAUUGUAUUAUGUUUGGUGGCCCUAAGUCCAA